GUGUCAGCAGCCGCGGUAAUACGUAGGGGGCAAGCGUUGUCCGGAUUUAUUGGGCGUAAAGAGCUCGUAGGCGGCUCACUAAGUCGGAUGUGAAAACUCCAGGCUCAACCUGGAGACGCCAUUCGAUACUGGUGUGGCUUGAGUUCGGUAGGGGAGCACGGAAUUCCUGGUGUAGCGGUGAAAUGCGCAGAUAUCAGGAGGAACACCGGUGGCGAAGGCGGUGCUCUGGGCCGAAACUGACGCUGAGGAGCGAAAGCGUGGGUAGCAAACAGGAUUAGAAACCCGGGUAGUCC
rnacentral:rRNA from 1 species